rnacentral:ncRNA from 1 species
CGAGGCACCUCUGGAAAGCAGCCGUGCAAUGCGGCUCACCGACGGGGCAAGCGAAUCGUCACCAGACCGACGGUUCGCGAAACUCUCAGGUACAGCGACAGAGCGGGGAGG